rnacentral:rRNA from 1 species
GACGAACGCUGGCGGCGUGCUUAACACAUGCAAGUCGAACGGAAAGGCCCUGCUUUUGUGGGGUGCUCGAGUGGCGCACGGGUGAGUAACACGUGAGUAACCUGCCCUUGACUUUGGGAUAACUUCAGGAAACUGGGGCUCAUACCGGAUAGGAGCUCCUGCUGCAUGGUGGGGGUUGGAAAGUUUCGGCGGUUGGGGAUGGACUCGCGGCUUAUCAGCUUGUUGGUGGGGUAGUGGCUUACCAAGGCUUUGACGGGUAGCCGGCCUGAGAGGGUGACCGGCCACAUUGGGACUGAGAUACGGCCCAGACGCCUACGGGAGGCAGCAGUGGGGAAUAUUGCACAAUGGGCGGAAGCCUGAUGCAGCAACGCCGCGUGCGGGAUGACGGCCUUCGGGUUGUAAACCGCUUUCGCCUGUGACGAAGCGUGAGUGACGGUAAUGGGUAAAGAAGCACCGGCUAACUACGUG